AUGAACAGAUCCCACACUCAGUUAUUGUUAAGAUGUGGAUGCAUGGCAGAGGGUUUUAUACAAAACAACACCAGUUCAAAGCUACCAGAAGAUUUGGGAAUGGAAUACCAUGGAGAACUAGUAUCAAGGAACCUUUUAGAACCGCGUGAUGCAUUUCACGGUCAAUCGGUGUGUACCAUGCAUGAUCUUGUUCGUGACUUUGCUCAACUUGUAGCAAAAGAUGAAGGACUAUUUGUUAGUGAAGGAGAGAGCUCGAGUACUAGUCUUGCUAAUAGAAAACUACGCCACCUAUCUAUAUCAAGAGAUGCAACAGAGUUGGGUUCUUUGGAAACAGAGGCCUCGCUGAGGACACUCAUGUUAUUCAACCGCCCGGUCACAUAUGGUUACCUGGAUAAUCUUCGUUGUCUACGAGUAUUGCAUAUAAGUUGUAAUGAUGUAAAUCUCAUGGAGUUUCCGGAGUAUGUCUGCCAGCUCAAGCAUUUAAGAUACUUGCUACUCAGGGGCACAAGCAUAUCAAAAAUUCCAGAAGGCAUAGGAGACCUAAAGUUUCUGCAGGCCAUUGACCUUGUAGGGUCUAUAAAUUUGUGCCAACUUCCUGAGAGCAUCUUGAAGCUACAGAACCUGAGAUGUAUCAGCUUGUACGGAACAAAGAUAACCUCAAUUCCUCGUGGAUUCGGGAAGCUAAAAAAUUUGGUCAAUCUGCAAGGUAUUACAACACAUUCAGAUUAUAGCGGAGAUGGUUGGUGCAGCUUGGAAGAACUAGGGUCUCUGCUGAAACUCAAAUAUCUUUACAUAACAUGUUUGGAUAAGGCGCCUUCUGGUUCUGUGGCUGCUAGAGCCAAGCUGAGUAGUAAACAACACCUCAUCUGGUUACAAUUGAUAUUUACUAGCGAUUUUACAGUGAAUUGGGAGGUUCAAGACCCUCCACCUUCCAUAGGAUAA
rnacentral:rRNA from 1 species